ACGCUCGACACCUACGGGAGGCAGCAGUCGGGAAUAUUGCGCAAUGGAGGGAACUCUGACGCAGUGACGCCGCGUAUAGGAAGAAGGUUUUCGGAUUGUAAACUAUUGUCGUUAGGGAAGAGAAAGGACAGUACCUAAGGAGGAAGCUCCGGCUAACUACGUGCCUGCAGCCGCGGUAAUCUGAGCGGGCUGGCAAGGC
rnacentral:rRNA from 1 species